CUUUUUUGUUGUUGGACUAUACCGUUAAAAUCAGUGGGCUCCAGUGUUGUUUGGUUCUCAAUGUUUUUUCCCUUCCACAGAAGAGUCAUUAUGGUUUGAAUGACAUGAGGCUGAAUAAAUGUUGACAGAAUAUUCAUUUAUGGGUAAACUAUCCCUAUAAGCAAUUUGCUCUGUAUGUAAUUUGAAAAGAGAAUAAAUGGAUUUCAGUUGUGUUUUCAUGUAGGGAGUGAUGAAGAAAAAUCCAAGGGAAGGAGUAACCGCAUAAGUGAAACAGAAAUAGAUGAAAUGGGAAGAAUAGGGAAUCUGUGAGUGAGGAAACAAGACAGUGAGCGAGCUGGUGAAUGAGAGCGAGGGAGGGAGAGAUAGGCAGAAGGAACUUGUUGCCCCUGGUUGGUGUUGUGUAAGACUUGGCUGGCUGUAGCAGAAUAACACUCUUAUUCUCUCAGUGCUUUGAACUCUGGUACCCUACAGCUCCGACCACCCCUCUUUGCAACAGCAAGAACUCACAUUGAGGUCCCUCUCUCUUUCUCUCUCUCUGUCUCUCUCUCGCUCUCUCUCUGUGUCUAUUUCACUCUCCCCUUUCCUGCUGUGUCGCACUUCUCUUUCUCUUUCCUUAAGUCGUACCUCUGCUUCAUUCUCAUUUGUCUUUCACUUUCUCCCACAUGUGCUUGUCUGCUUCAGAUGUGCUGCUGUACCUUUUUGCAUUUGUAGAAAGUUUAUGAUAUUUUUUUCUGUCCUGUUGGACUGAGAACAGGCGUGUACGGCUUCAUCAGCUGUGUCGUCACGUGUGAUGCUACCGGCUCUACACCGACCGGAUCUGGACUGCACAUGAGCCACAUAGCUGGAGGGUGUAUGGUGUGGGAACGGAGAUGGGGGAUGUCCCUGCAUUCUUCACAGCCCGGGCAGCCAGGUUGUCAGGGACAGGCCCUGGUGGUGAAGCCUGUGAGGAGUUUGCAGAGAUGUCCCGCUCAACAAUGGUAAGAGCCAUCAGAUCUUUGCCAUCUGAACAGACUUUGGGAUCUGAGAGAAUUCUUUCCCGUCUUUCUAUCUCAUAUCUAUGUCAUGGAUCACCUCUGGGCGUUUUCCCAAACCCUUUCUGGAAUUUAUUUUCAGUGCUGCAAGAAAAACAAUGAUAAAGACACACGCUGAG
ensembl:lncRNA